GGCCCCAUCGUCUAGCGGCCUAGGAUAUCUGGUUCUCAUCCAGAAGAUCGCGGGUUCAAAUCCCGCUGGGGUCA
rnacentral:tRNA from 1 species